UAAGGUGGUUAUUGCGGCGGGGCUCACCUCUUCCCAUUUCGAACAGAGAAGUUAAGCCCGCCAGCGUCGAUGGUACGAGUAGAUCGCCGCCUUUC
rnacentral:rRNA from 1 species